rnacentral:lncRNA from 1 species
GGCUGCACCCGCAGCACAUGGAGGUUUCCAGGCUAGGGGUCUAAUCGGAGCUGUAGCUACUGGCCUACACCACAACCACAGCAAUGCCAGAUCCAAGCUGUGUUUGCAACCUACACCACAGCUCAUGGCAAUGCCAGAUCCCCAACCCACCGAGCAAGGCCAGGGAUCAAACCCGCAACCUCAUGGCUCCUAGUUGGAUCUGUUUCCACUGUGCCACAAUGGAAACUUCUAUAACUUAAUUUAUAAUAAAAAGGAAUGCAAAACAAUCCAAUAUAUUUCACCAUUAAAAAAUGAACACAAUAAAAUUUGAUAUCUGCAAGAAGAGAGAGAUGUGCAAGGAAUCAUGAUUUCACAGUAAAGGUGAUCAUUAAGUAGCAUUUUAAAAAAUAGACUGAAAUAUUAUAGGAAAACAAGUCACAAAGAUGGAGUGACACAAGAGAGGACAUUCUAAUUAAAAUAAGUGACAUCAACAAAAGCACUGAGAUGUGAAGCUGCAUGCUAUCUUAGGGAAGGGUAAGUUCAGCACUGCUGGGACAUAAAGAGUGUGGAUAGUGAUGGGGAGAAGGGAAAUGGACUGGAGUCAAGGACGCUAGAGUAAAGAUGAAGGCUAUAAAGAUUUUGCAUUCUCUGUUAAUUGCUUAUUCUAAAAGUCACAGAAGUGUAUUACAAGGUUUUAACUGGAUGAGUGACUUCAUUAGUAAUAUUUGCAUUUUGAAAGGUUAGUAUAAGCUAAGCCUGGAGAAAGAGGGACCAGACAGAAGCUUCUGCAAUGGUCAAAACUGGAAACAAAGAAGUUCUGAACUAGAGUAGGCAAUGGAGUGAUAAAAAAGAGAAGUUCAGGAGAUGUUUGAGGUCAGCUUCUGGUUGAUAUUUAGGAUCUGAAAUCUGAAAGCAUGAAUUAUAUGUUGACUUUGGGGAGAUAACAAGGGAAUCAGGGAAGACUGCCAUAUGCCAUGUAUGUACUACCUAAAAAUACAGAGAAAAGCUUCAGCCCUUCUGCCUGUCUGCUAGGCUGCAGUUUCCUCCAUUCCUUUUUCCUAAUUAUUAUUCCACCACCUGUUUUCUGCCUUCCAGAUAUUUGUUAAAAUAUGCUGUUUGUUCAAGAAAACCCUUCCCAUUCCUCUCAUUACAUGUUUAUUUUAUUACCAUUACCUAAUUUUCAAUUUGACAUUUACAUGGGAGGGAGGUGUAUUCAUAUGGAUGAACUUCAUCUGCCAUCUUGAACUGAUGCACAUCAUACCACGUCGUGAAAAUUAACAUGUAAUUCAGGACUAAACCCAGUUGAAACACAUUCAUACACUGAUGGAAAAUUAUGUCUAUUUCUUGGCAGGUAUAGUUAGUUUUAAAUACUUUCAUGUGUACUUUGUUUUUGGAUUUGGAUUUCAGUAGUAUAAUCAUUACGGGUAUUACUGAUCAGAUUAAGUAUGAACUUUUAGAAGUGGAAUAUUUCAUCCACAUUUAUUUUAUACCAUUUAUUUUGCCAGUUGUACUUCUCUUGAUUUAAGUAACAACAGAAGGAUGCUCAUUUCCAUUUCAGUCUAGUGUCAAUGUCCACUUCAGAGCACUUCUCAUUUCCUCAGAACAAAGCCUUUCCUAAGCCCAGGGAUCUUGGUUAGUGACCACACGAAAUGGAAAGGGCAAAAGAAGCAGCCAAAGGGACAAGAAACAGCUGGAAACCAUUGAAGAAAGCUAUAGAAAUAAAAACAUGAGGAAUAAAAGAAUAUGACUAAUGUUUAAUAUCCAGUGUUAAAAAAUAUUUUGGAAAUUCUGUGUUGUCUUUUCCUGGGUAACAGCCUUAAAAUGUAUCUAUGUCCACUGUCUACAUUAAAUCUUUUCUGGAAUGAGGAAGUGUCAUGCCCACAUAUGAACUAAAUCAAAACAGAAGAGCAGUCAUCAGCAAAGACUAAAAUCUUACUGUGUGAAGGACAAAUGAAGGUUUCUUUUGAACAAUAAAAUGACUCUGACUUGAUAUCUUACUGAUUUAGUGUUUUGACUUUUGACAUCCAGUUCAUACCAGUUGGAAACCAUAAUUCCUUCUCCCAGAUCCGUGAGUUCAGGGGGUUCUUGAAGGUCAAUUGCUCUUUAGCAUAAUUUCUCACUAUUGUAUGAAACUGCCUCUCCAAUUGCCUAGUAUCUCCAACAACAACAGAACCGUAUCUGCCAAAACACAAUAACUUCCAAUCAAAUACCACCAAAGGAAAACAAUGGCACCAUGAAUAGUCACAUAGGAAAAUAUGAAUUUUGCUUUCCCAGAUAAAGUUAUUGCUCCAAGAGCAUCAGAAAUGAUGUCCUGUUUCUAAUGCUUACUAUCCACUACCCUGAGUAUCCUGCUAGGAUCAUGAGGCAUACAUUGACAAUCUACUGGAACACAACAAGUAAGACUGGACAAGAAGACAAUUUCCAGCCAAUUUUCAGAGACCCCAUUUUAAUGAGAAUGAAAAGAACAGGGAGCUCAGAAGUAUCAGAGUCUUAAUACAACUUGGAUUUGGUUUAGCAAUUCCUAAAAUAGAGGAAGGACUUCUAUGGAUAGGAUAAAAUAUGGCGUUAUUAUUUUGAUCAAAGUGAAAAUUGCACCUGGGAAUUUACUGCCACCUUUCCAUCAUUUAACCAAAAUGUCCUAUACUCAUCCAUGAAAAAUGGCAUAUACUUUCCACAAUCAAAAUAACAGUAGAAGAGCCAAAUCCAUAGCAUGUAUGUUUCCUCUAUGAGAGGAGUAUUUGGAUUCUAAGACUACUGGCUAAUAUUUGUCCGUUAGCCAACCCAUCACCAUCCAACAGGUAUAGUUAUUGAUGAGGAGACCUGAUCUGUCACUCUCUAACCAAAUUAACAUAUUCAUAAUAAAGACUGCAGAGUCUUUUCUAACAGAAAGAUAUCGUUUCUUUAUUUCUCUCGUGUUUUAACAUGAAUGAAGGAUGGGUUUUAAUACUCAUUCAGAAUCUACCAUGUGCCAAAAACUAUGGCUGUUGUUUUGUAUAUGUUAUUUCAUUCAAUUCUGACGGCAAUUCUGUAAGGCAGAUGGUAUUCUCAUUUGCAAAGGGGGAAAACUUGGCUCAGAGAGGUUUGAUAACUUACCAAGUCCCACAACCAACAAAUGGCAGAGCUAGAAUGUGAACCCAGGCUGACUAUCUAUACAACAUCACAUUGCUUUGUCUGGGCUACAAAACACAUAAAGUUAUUUUAUUUUCUAGCUGUUUUCCCCUGUUUUCACUCAUAGAUCUUUUUAUGCUUCAGAAUAAUUUUACCUAACAAUUUUCGUAAAUUUGUUGAUUCUCAUGUUUUUUGUUCACAUCAUCUACCAGAUAGUCACCUCUUUGAUGGCUGAGACCAUGUCUGCCAUUUUCAUCCUUGCAUCCAAAGCACCCAGCACAGAGUAGUAGGAACUCAAUAAAUACUUGUUGCAAGUAAAGAAUAAGUAGAUGCCCCCUCAGUGAAACUUCCACUCAGGCACACUAAUUGAGUUCCCUUACCGUGCCAUUCUCAUUUUGCCUCUGCAGUUUGGGUCCAUCACUCAAAUUCUUAGGAAGAACCUCAGUCUUCUCUUCCCACAUAACCCCUCCCAAACCACUGUGACACAUCACAAGGACUCUCUGGUUCCAAGAAUCAUUUCUGUUCACAGGGAAAUUCUGGCUCUCCUGUGUUUCUGAAUUCAUAUAACUUACUUUCUCUUCUCUUCAUCCAAUGCUACUUUGUGAGCUCAUUUUUGGUGUGUAAUUUAUUCUUAUGAAUGUAUAUGGGUUUUUAUUUUUCACCUCCAAGUUAAGACAUACAGGAAGUACUGUAUAUUAUAAUUACUUUUCUCCUUCCUAAAAAUCUAACACUUACUAUGUACAAAGUAUAUCCUUAAAUAUGUGCUGAGUAAAUAAAUAAAUGAACUCUUAGUAGGAAAAGAUCUUAGUAGAAUAUUAAAAUAAAAAAGAGCUCUAAGUAUUACCUAUGGUGAAACAGACUGGGGGUAUGAAAUCAAGUCAGGGCACUUUAUAACUUGGUACACUGGUUAUUUAACUUCAGCCUUUGAUUUUACCUGGACAAAGUAGUAAUCAGAGAAAUAUGUAAAAAGAAAGUAUACUGAAUGGGAGCAGGUGGUUCCUUUCCCAUACAGGAGUUUAUACUCUUUCCACAGACCCCAUGCUCCUUCCAAAAAGAGAAAAAUGCUGCCAAGGAAUAGAAGACAUCCCCUAUGUUCUCUCUAUCCUUUCUCCUCAAGCUUUCUAUUGCUGGCUUCAAGUAAAGAUACAGAACAGAAGCAAAAAGAAAUUACCAAUGGGAUUUCCAAACAACUCUAGCUGUUACUACACAAGGAUACACAAAAUAAAUCAUUAUUUCAUCAUUCUAAUAUUCCUGUAGAGAAAAUUCAACAGCUCUAACCUGUCUUAAUUUAGGUUGCCAAUAAUCAAAAAAUAGAUAUACUAGAGCUAAAAAUUUGGAGCUCUGAAGAAAAAAAUCUGUGUUAUUUCAAACUAAAUGAAACUUGGAACAUUUAGUUUGUACAAUAUCUCUCCACACAACUGUCUAUAGCUGAAUUUUCCAUAAAAUAAUAAAUAACCACUGAAAUACUGGUGUAUUCUGAGAUGUUUGGCUCAGCAGGUUGUGAUUUACCCCUCAGGUAAGUUCAGGCUUGACAUGGUUUAAAAGAGCAGGUACUUAAGCUCUUGCUGCAGCAGCUGAAAUCUUUCCAUGCUUCCAGGAGCUAGAGAAGACCUGGUCCUUUGGCGUCCAGCUCCUUCCAUGCAGCUGAGCUUGUAUUGCUAACUUGCACUAAGAAAACAGAGUCUGUGGACUCAAGACCCAGAAACAAAAUAUAAAUUUAAAAAAUAGUAAUACACUCAUGGUUCCAACUGUCCACACAUUCUCAGUUAGGCUAUACCUAUGUUAUAUUACUCAGCAUGUGGUUUCAAUUUUAACAACAAUGCACAUUUGUUCAAGAGCAUGCUGGCUGUUAACUUCACUUCUCACUGUGUUUAAAUAUGCCAUGGGCUGUGACUCCCUUUUAGGGGUCAAGUGUCUGGCAUGUGCCUGCUAUGUUAUGGUUGGUAUAAUCUUACAGAUUAUCCAAGCUGCAAAACCAGAAUCUUUGAUGUCCAAAAAGGCCCAUGUAUAUGUAAUACGUAUAUUAUGUAUACCUGUAUAUAUCAACAAAGAAAUGAGUAAAGUAGAGAAAAGGACAAACAACCCAUCAGCAUGAAACAGCCAUUCCCUUGCUAUUUCUGGACUGACUGACAUGUGACAUGCAACAGUGUUAAGCUUUGCUCCCUUUUCAAAAUAUAGAUGCCAAGUGACCACCUUUAACUGGUGUUCACUUGGAGACUUCUUUCCUCACACUAAAGGAUUAUGUUACACUCUGGAAUUUCACAGCAGAAUUUGAUACCACUUGGUAUUUAUCGAAACAUUUAUGUUCACAGCAUUUAGUAUUUCAGCAUCCA